rnacentral:rRNA from 1 species
AGUGAACGCUGGCGGCAGGCCUAAUACAUGCAAGUCGAACGAACAGACGAUGAGCGUUCGCCUCUGACGUUAGCGGCGGACGGAUGGGUGACACGUGGAUCGGCUACCUAUUAUACGUGGAUGACUUCGUGGGACCGGAUCUACUACUAGAUAAUAUGUUGUACCGCAUAGUUCAGUAGUUAAAGACGCUUUUCCUGUCACUUAUAGAUGACGUCGCAUUAGCUAGUUGGCAUGGUAACGGAACACCAAGGCAACGCUCCGUAGCUGAUCUGAGAGGAUGAUCGGCCACACUGGAACUGAGACACGGUCCAGACUCCUACGGGAGGCAGCAGUAGGGAAUAUUGCACAAUGGGCGAAAGCCUGACGGAGCAAUGCCGCGUGAGUGAAGAAGGUCUUCGGAUCGUAAAACCCUGUUAUUAGGAAAGAAAAACUGUGUAAGAAACCACGGACGUCCUGACGGUACCUAAACAGAAAGCAACGGCUAACUACGUG